rnacentral:rRNA from 1 species
GAUGAACGCUGGCGGCGUGCCUAAUACAUGCAAGUCGAGCGAACAGACGAGGAGCUUGUUCCUCUGACGUUAGCGGCGGACGGGUGUGUAACACGUGGAUAACCUACCUUUAAGUCUGGGAUAACUUCGGGAAACCGGAGCUAAUACCGGAUAAUAUAUUGAACCGCAUGGUUCAAUAGUGAAAGACGGUUUUGCUGUCACUUAUAGAUGGAUCCGCGCCGCAUUAGCUAGUUGGUAAGGUAACGGCUUACCAAGGCGACGAUGCGUAGCCGACCUGAGAGGGUGAUCGGCCACACUAGAACUGAGACACGGUCCAGGCUCCUACGGGAGGCAGCAGUAGGGAAUCUUCCGCAAUGGGCGGAAGCCUGACGGAGCAACGCCGCGUUGGGGAUGAAGGUCUUCGGAGCGUAAAACUCUGUUAUUAGGGAAGAACAAAUGUGUAAGUAACUAUGCACGUCUUGACGGUACCUAAUCAGAAAGCCACGGCUAACUACGUG